UGCGUUUAUGUACGACAUAAUAAUGAAUCAUGGUAAUAGUCAAGAUCUUACUAAGGAUUUUUCAAGAACAUUGCCUUAUUCAGCGGAGGAGAUUAAUGAGGUGAAAGAUUUUUGGGCAGAUUACUUCAUGAACAAUGUCGAAUUUUUAGCUUAAUUUGUAAUAUGAACUUGAUCUCUAGCUAGCUACGUACCUUUGUUGUAAUAAUUUUAUGUUUGUUGUAACAUGUUGGUUGAUCGAUCUAUGACGAAUUUAAUUGCCUUUUAUUGGGAACGUUAAUUACGUUGUAAACUUUUGUGACAGGUAUUAAUUAUAAAUGUAUUCCCGGUAUUGGGAAUGAA